rnacentral:rRNA from 1 species
UACGUAGGAACCGAGCGUUAUCCGGAUUCACUGGGCGUAAAGCGCGUGCAGGCGGCUUGGUAAGUCGGACGUGAAAGCUCCUGGCUUAACUAGGAGAGGUCGUUCGAGACUGCCCGGCUUGAGGUCGGGAGAGGGACGUGGAAUUCCCGGUGUAGUGGUGGAAUGCGUAGAUAUCGGGAGGAACACCUGUGGCGAAGGCGACGUCCUGGCCCGCACCUGACGCUCAGACGCGAAAGCGUGGGGAGCAAACAGG